rnacentral:misc_RNA from 1 species
CCAAUAGCGUAUAUUAAAGUUGUUGCAGUUAAAAAGCUCGUAGUUGAAUUUCGGGGUCAGUAGGUUGGUCGUGCCACCGGUACGUACUGGUCUCACUGAUUCCUCCUUCCUGAUGAGCUGUAAUGCCAUUAAUUUGGUGUUGCAGGGAAUCUGGACUGUUACUUUGAAAAAAUUAGAGUGUUUAAAGCAGGCUAACGCUUGAAUACAUUAGCAUGGAAUAAUGAAAUAGGACGUUCGAUCCUAUUUUGUUGGUUUCUAGGAUUGACGUAAUGAUUAAUAGGGAUAGUUGGGGGCAUUAGUAUUCAAUUGUCAGAGGUGAAAUUCUUGGAUUUAUUGAAGACUAACUACUGCGAAAGCAUUUGCCAAGGAUAUUUUCAUUAAUCAAGAACGAAAGUUAGGGGAUCGAAGGCGAUCAGAUACCGUCGUAGUCUUAACUAUAAACUAUGCCGACUAGGGAUCGGAUGAUGUUAAUUUUUUAAUGACUCAUUCGGCGCCUUACG